rnacentral:rRNA from 1 species
GAUGAACGCUGGCGGCGUGCCUAAUACAUGCAAGUCGAGCGAACGGACGAGAAGCUUGCUUCUCUGAUGUUAGCGGCGGACGGGUGAGUAACACGUGGAUAACCUACCUAUAAGACUGGGAUAACUUCGGGAAACCGGAGCUAAUACCGGAUAAUAUUUUGAACCGCAUGGUUCAAAAGUGAAAGACGGUCUUGCUGUCACUUAUAGAUGGAUCCGCGCUGCAUUAGCUAGUUGGUAAGGUAACGGCUUACCAAGGCAACGAUGCAUAGCCGACCUGAGAGAGUCAACGGCCACACAGAGAGUGAGACACGGUCCAAAAACCUACGGUAGGCAGCAGUAGCGAAACCUGCGCAAUGAGCGAAAGCCUGACGGGGCAACGCGGCGUGAGUGAUGAAGGUCAUCGGAUCGUAAAACUCUGUUAUUAGGGAAGAACAUAUGUGUAAGUAACUGUGCACAGCUUGACGGUACCUAAUCAGAAAGCCACGGCUAACUACGUG